rnacentral:rRNA from 1 species
AGAGUGAACGCUGGUGGCAGGCCUAACACAUGCAAGUCGAACGGCAGCACAGGGGAGCUUGCUCUCCGGGUGGCGAGUGGCGGACGGGUGAGGAAUACAUGGGAAUCUGCCCAAUCGUGGGGGAUAACGUAGGGAACUUACGCUAAUACCGCAUACGACCUUAGGGUGAAAGCGGCGGACCGCGAAGGCGUCGCGCGAUUGGAUGACGCCCAUGUCGGAUUAGCUUGGUUGGCGGGGUAAAGCCCACGAAGGCGACGAUCCGUAGCUGGUCUGGAGAGGAUGAUCACGCCACACGUGGAACUGACGAC